UACGUAGGGCGCAAGCGUUGUCCGGAAUUAUUGGGCGUAAAGAGCUCGUAGGCGGUUUGUCGCGUUCUGCUGUUGAAAAGCCCGGGGCUCAACCCCGGGUCUGCAGUGGGUACGGGCAGACUAGAGUGCAGUAGGGGAGACUGGAAUUCCUGGUGUAGGCGGUGAAAUGCGCAGAUAUCAGGAGGACACCGAUGGCGAAGGCAGGUCUCUGGGCUGAUUACUGACGUGAGGAGCGAAGCAUGGGGAGCGAACAGGAAUUAGAUACCCGGGGUAGUCCA
rnacentral:rRNA from 1 species